rnacentral:lncRNA from 1 species
CAAAACUCUGCUUAUGUGCAUGCUGCUUGGGAUGGACUUCAUCGUACAGGAAAUCUGCGGUCAGUUCAUCCCCAUUGUCUAUCUCAAUCUGCAAAAGAGGAAGUUACCAGAGAGAACACUGUAAACCAUGGGAACUGGAACCAUUCAGAACUGACGCACUGUAAGCUGGCUCCCAGGUCCCGAGGAAAAGUCGCUCGGCUGGCCGGAGGAAGGAGCCCGGCCAGCUUCGGAUCUUCCUGCUCUCCGCACGGGCGCCGGGAUGCGGCGGAGUCGCCCCGUACAUCCUCACGUCUCGGCUCUCUGGCAGCCACCGGCCUGUUACGUGGCGGCCG